rnacentral:rRNA from 1 species
UACAGAGGUGGCAAGCGUUGUUCGGAAUUACUGGGCGUAAAGGGCGCGUAGGCGGCUUGGUCAGUCCCGUGUGAAAUCCCUCGGCUCAACUGAGGAACUGCACGGGAAACUGCCUGGCUUGAGUUCGGGAGAGAGAAGCGGAAUUCCGGGUGUAGCGGUGAAAUGCGUAGAUAUCCGGAGGAACACCGGUGGCGAAGGCGGCUUCCUGGACCGACACUGACGCUGAGGCGCGAAAGCUAGGGGAGCAAACGGG